rnacentral:lncRNA from 1 species
AGCGGUUCUGGGUACAGCAAUUACAGCAGCAGGUGGUCCAAAAGGGUAUCCUCCUUUCUUGGUCCUGUUCAGCUGACGGAUAUACACCUUGUCACCGGGCUGGUAUGGAUGAGUAGGUUCCUGUGAAGGUAAGGGAAAACUGCGAAGAAACAUUGUCAUACAUACCAUUCGGUUUUAUCAACAAUUCCUGUACAUAUUGUUCUUG